UACAGAGGGUGCAAGCGUUAAUCGGAAUUACUGGGCGUAAAGCGCGCGUAGGUGGUUUUGUUAAGUUGGAUGUGAAAUCCCCCGGGCUCAACCUGGGAACUGCAUUCAAAACUGACAAGCUAGAGUAUGGUAGAGGGUGGUGGAAUUUCCUGUGUAGCGGUGAAAAUGCGUAGAUAUAGGAAGGAACACCAGUGGCGAAGGCAGCCCCCCUGGGCUAACACUGACGCUCAGGCACGAAAGCGUGGGGAGCAAACAGG
rnacentral:rRNA from 1 species